rnacentral:rRNA from 1 species
UGGGGAAUAUUGGGCAAUGGGCGAAAGCCUGACCCAGCAACGCCGCGUGAGGGAAGAAGGUUUUCGGAUUGUAAACCUCUGUCCUUGGGGACGAAGAAAGUGACGGUACCCAAGGAGGAAGCCCCGGCUAACUACGUGCCAGCAGCCGCGGUAAUACGUAGGGGGCAAGCGUUGUCCGGAAUUACUGGGCGUAAAGGGUGCGUAGGCGGUUUUUUAAGUUAGAUGUGAAAUCCCCGGGCUUAACUCGGGUGUUGCAUUUGAAACUGGGGAACUAGAGUGCAGGAGAGGGAAGCGGAAUUCCUAGUGUAGCGGUGAAAUGCGUAGAUAUUAGGAGGAACACCAGUGGCGAAGGCGGCUUCCUGGACUGUAACUGACGCUGAGGCACGAAAGCGUGGGGAGCAAACAG